rnacentral:lncRNA from 1 species
UAUCUUCUCCACUGGGAUGCCCCUGAACUUGGCUUCCUAGAGCCUCAGUGUUGGGGAUGGGGAUGGGGCACAGAAGCUGUCCUGUUGGGUGGGACCAGGGUGAGGGAGUUCUUAGAGCAGACUGGGCCACCAUAGUGUGUUCCAGGGACUCAGACCUCUGUGGCUUCCUCCUUGUCCAGGGGCAAAAGACAACAGUAGACCAUCAUGGAAGACACCAAAAAUACCAGCCAGGGCUGAGUUCAUCCUGUGACAAACACCUGUGCAGCCUCUUUUCAUGUCCAAAUCCCCUCCCAUGAGUAGACACUAUUAUUAUCCCCAUUUUGCAGAUGAGGAAACUGAGGCACAGAGUGGUAAGUAAUACGCCCAAGGUCACUUGGCUAGCCAGCUGCAGAACUGGGGCACAGACCAGGUCCCUUUGAUUCCAAAGUCUAAGCAUAGCUCCUAGUUAUCUGGCCCAAAGCUAUGGUAUCUGGGGAGCCAACAUGGAAGGCAGCAGUCCUGGUAGAGAGCAAGGGAGGAGAACACUUCAGAGGCGACCAGAUCUAGGGCAUCAGCCUAGCCACAAUUCUACAAAAACACUUUAGCCCUAUGCUGUCAAGUCUCAAGGUGGGAGACUUGGGAAAUGAAAUGAAACCCCAUAUCACCUCUCCUUUCUACCACAUGCACCCCCUACCCCCAACACACACUUCUGCUCGUGUCUCUGCAGCUGGGCACUCUCCUUGGCUCACCUGCAAAGUGAGCCCCAGCAGUGAGCCAGGAACCAAAAAGAUAGGAUGGUUUUUAGGAAUCUUGAAGUUCCUCUGAAGACACCACCUAGGGGUGGACCCAGACGGGACAGAUGAGGCUCAGAGCAAAGUAACUCAGACUCAUCUUUCCAGAUGCUGUUCAA